rnacentral:sRNA from 1 species
CUUUUACGCAUCCGAAGAAUCCAAUAGGGGCUUUAUAUCAGACCAAGGACUUCGUAUUUCACCUUAUUUUGUUUUAAAGAAAUAGGGAUAAAGAGUUUGCAAGUGCUUGUGUACAAUAACUACAUCAUUUCCCACCACACUGAUCAUUAAUCAUGUCAGUCUCAAAGGACUAACGUUUUAUGUACAUUUUGUAUUAACUGAACUCAGCUAAACAGUAAAACCUGUUUUACUUAAUCUCUGUCUUGACUACCAGACUAUCAUGAUGUUUGUUGGAACUGUAAUUCCUGCUCUCCAUUUCUCUCUGUCCCCCAAGUUGAAAAUAUAACCCAAAUCUUUAGAAUUUUUGCCUCUCAUUCCUUGCAACUCCAGUGGGCUAGAAUCUUGAUCCAGUUUUCUCCAGACUAGAUUUCAAGCUACUCUGCAUGAUGUAGAACCUGUAACCAUGUAACCUCAUCAGCUUCCUUUUCCCUUUUGACUUUUCCUGUUGCACACAGUUCAGUCUGACUAUUCAUGAAUCUUCUUUGGGAGAAAGAAAAAUGGCCCAAUGUAUAAUGUUUCUGAAUGGGGAAGGGAGGAAAAAAAAAAUCACUGUUCUUUGUAGCUCUAACCAUGAAAGUAAAAGCAACAAAAAUAUCCCCCAGUGAAUCCCUAGAAUCAUUUAAUAAUGUAACCGGUUUCUCUUUAUCCUGCAGGUGUACACUUAAAGCGUUCUGGGAAUAUGAAUCCCUUCUGCACCCUGGAAUCACCAGUCCAGCCAUGCAUGGAGCUGGGGAAAGCAGGCCCUGAAUUGUCUAGAGAGACUUGGUGGAGGAGGCCACGGCCCGCCUUGUCCCUGCCGGGUCCCAGCCAGGAUCUGAACGUCUAUGACACUCUUUCGAGCUGACACAGUGAAGAACAUGGAAGGAGAACUCACCCAGUCUGCCAGGGUCACAGAUGAUCAUACUCAAGAUCUUCCUGGGGAGUCAAUGGCAAAUUUCACUGGG